AAAGAGCUGUAAACAGCAGCAAGAGAGGAUUAAUUAUUUUAGUUCAGUGAAGUUGUCUCCUUGGAUACCAUUCAGGUGACUUCCACCAUUGUUCAUGUGAAGUGACCAGGAACAUGAGCAUCAGGAUAAUAAAUACCUGUGUUCCAGAUUAACUGCUGUGAAUGUUCCAAACUCCAUGUUCUGCCCCAUGAGAAGCAGAGAAAUGCCAUGCAUUUUCAGUUGUCAUCUGAGAGGGAUCCUACACACUGGCUCUGGGAAGGAAACUGCCUUUGGUUAGAGCAACUUGUGUCUGGACUCAAAUGGACACUUUACAGAACAGAGGUAUCCAAAGACAGGGUGCAAGCAGAAGAAAGCAUCAUGGAGCUGCAAAUAUGGUUCCAGCAGAAUAUUAGGUGCUUUGUACAGGAGUCAUUCAAAAUGUCAUUGACUAUCAGCUCUCUCUCUCUCUGUGUUACUUCCACAGUCAUGUCUUCUCAGAGCUGCCAUGCCUCGUGUGAUAACUAGUAUGGUAAGUACAGUUCCUCUGCUUCAGCAAACACCAGCAGUAGCCCCUGAUCAGACUGAGCCAUUGGGAGACAGAGCAUGCUGCAGCCAUCCCACCAAACCUGCUCGGUGGGAUGGCACAAGCACUUAACAGAAUAAGAAAGUUGGUCUUCGUGUCCUUCCCCUGUGGCCACAAACGUGAUCUGAGACAUGCCCCUCUCCAUUCUGCUGCUGUGUACCUUC
rnacentral:lncRNA from 1 species